UACGAAGGGGGCUAGCGUUGCUCGGAAUCACUGGGCGUAAAGCGCACGUAGGCGGCUUACUAAGUCAGGGGUGAAAUCCUGGAGCUCAACUCCAGAACUGCCUUCGAUACUGGCGAUCUCGAGUUCGGGAGAGGUGAGUGGAACUGCGAGUGUAGAGGUGAAAUUCGUAGAUAUUCGCAAGAACACCAGUGGCGAAGGCGGCUCACUGGCCCGAUACUGACGCUGAGGUGCGAAAGCGUGGGGAGCAAACAGG
rnacentral:rRNA from 1 species